rnacentral:rRNA from 1 species
AAAAACUUCUAUGUAGAGACAUCCAGAUGUGUUCUUUGUGAUGAUGAACCUAUAGAGUAUCUAAAGCAUCUUUUUUUCUCAUGUGACUUUAGUCAGAAUUUCUGGGUAUCACUUGGAAUUGAAUGGAACACAUACUUGGACUACAAUGACAUGUUGAUUGAGGCUAAAAACAUGUCACAAAUCCAGCGCUUUAAAGAAUGCAUAAUAGCUGGCUGUUGGACCAUAUAGAAGCACAGAAACAGAGUCAUUUUUGACAACAAGAGCAGGAAUAUGAGCUACUGCAUUACAUGUUUCAAGGAACACUAUGACACCAUCAUCAAAAGAGCAAAACCUAGUCUUAAAGAGGGAAUGCAGAACUGGCUAGAUUACUUGUGA